UACGUAGGGUGCAAGCGUUGUCCGGAAUUAUUGGGCGUAAAGAGCUCGUAGGCGGUUUGUCGCGUCUGCUGUGAAAUCCCGAGGCUCAACCUCGGGUCUGCAGUGGGUACGGGCAGACUAGAGUGCGGUAGGGGAGAUUGGAACUCCUGGUGUAGCGGUGGAAUGCGCAGAUAUCAGGAAGAACACCGGUGGCGAAGGCGGUCUGCUGGGGUAAUGCUGACACUGAUGCGCGACAGCGUGGGGAGCAAACAGG
rnacentral:rRNA from 1 species